rnacentral:rRNA from 1 species
GACGAACGCUGGCGGCGUGCUUAACACAUGCAAGUCGAACGGUGAUGCUCCAGCUUGCUGGAGUGGAUCAGUGGCGAACGGGUGAGUAACACGUGAGCAACCUGCCCCAGACUCUGGAAUAAGCGCUGGAAACGGCGUCUAAUACUGGAUACGAAACUGGCCCGCAUGGGCAUGGUUUGGAAAGUUUUUCGGUUUGGGAUGGGCUCGCGGCCUAUCAGCUUGUGGGUGAGGUAAUGGCUCACCAAGGCGACGACGGGUAGCCGGCCUGAGAGGGCGACCGGCCACACUGGGCCUGAGACACGGCCCAGACUCCUACGGUGGGCAGCAGUGGGGAAUAUUGCACAAUGGUCGCAAGCCUGAUGCAGCGACGCCGCGUGAGGGAUGACGGCCUUCGGGUUGUAAACCUCUUUCAGCAGGGAAGAAGCGAAAGUGACGGUACCUGCAGAAGAAGCACCGGCUAACUACGUG